ensembl:processed_transcript
ACUUAAUUACGAACACCUGACCUGCAGUGCAGCAGAAUUCAGAGGUAAGCGUGUUUUUAGAUGCUUUAAAGUUUUAUUUACCCCCCGAUUUUGUUUUACACACAGUGUAUCUUAAAUGUGACUUUGUAGUGUUUCGAAUUUUGAAGCAUUUAAAACUUUCCAGUUUGUUUUUAGUCUUGUUUGCGCUCCGGUGACGCAGCUAACCUCAAGGUAAUGUCACAUGUUUAACGUUAGUCUAAAUGAGCGUUUUUAUGGCAAAUUCAAAGCGAUAAACUCCAAACGCAGUUUAAAGUUACUGAGCAACGUUAUAAAACAAUAUCCAUUUUAUACGCUGUAUUAUUAGUGUUAUUAUUACAAAGUGAACUGCUGUCGUUUCACUGUUGUUGUUGUUUUUGCUUUUAGACAUGUAACUUACUCCAGAGACGCACUAACUUGCACAGCAUUAAAUGGAAAAGGCUUUGUCCAUGUCCAGUUGAGGGGCAUCAAGAACACGCAGAUAGCCUACCUGUGUCAGCCUGGACAGACUGCAGUUCUGCUACUCCAUGCCAAGGCUUUUGUAUGGAUGUCUUGACUACUACUGUGUUCUCUAAAGGUUUUCUGGAGGCUCCAUUUGAGGGCAUCAAGGACAUACUGAUGGCCUAAACCAGUGUCAGCCUAGACAGACAGGCAUCUAUUGCAGUUCUGCUACACAAGACCAAACUCUCUGCUUUUGUAUGGAUGUCUGACUAGUACGGUGUUCUCUAAAGGUAUAACUGGAGCAAAACAAUAGCAUCCGUUACAGUGAAAUUUGUGUUCAUAAAAGAUAGUGAUAUGUGUAACAGGUCCAGUACAUUUGUCAUAAAGGUUAAAUCACAGUAAGUACUGUAAAAAUAACUUGUUUGCCUUUGCCACAACAGGUCAUGGUGUGUGCUUACUGCUUGUAGUAAACACACGCUGAUCUGAUGAGGGAGAGAUAUACGCAAACACAAUUGUAUUUAAUGUUUUGUUUUGCCUCACUAAAGUGUUGUUGGAGCUUGGUAUGUUCACAGUUGAAAUCACUGAAGUCACAUGGAACGUUUUGACAAUGUGUUUUGUGCCUUAUCUUGACAAUGACCAUCUUGGGACCAUUGCUGUCUGUAGAGGAUGAGGAGCAUUUAAUCUAAA